rnacentral:rRNA from 1 species
GGGUUGUGAGGUUAAGCGACUAAGCGUACACGGUGGAUGCCUAGGCAAUCAGAGGCGAUGAAGGACGUGCUAAUCUGCGAUAAGCGUCGGUAAGGUGAUAUGAACCGUUAUAACCGACGAUUUCCGAAUGGGGAAACCCAGUGCAAUUCGUUGCACUAUCGUUUGAUGAAUACAUAGUCAAACGAAGC